CAGUAGCGUGGAUGGAGAGAAUAACGCGUGGCUGGAGAGAAUAACGCCUGGCUGGAGGAACAAUUGAAAAAUGGAUCAAAUUAUGAAGCUGCAGGCCCAAUUAUUGGAACAACCCAAAGUAUUAGAUAACAGCAAAGCUAAGGAUGCUCAAAUUUUGAGUCUACAAGCUCAGCUAGGGAAAAAGAACAAAUUGGAACGGAACAGUUUCCAAACAGUGAAGGAGGUUUUUCCAAACUCAUCCCUAACUGAACAUGAGGAUGAAUUGACAUUAGGCGAACACAGUCAGUUAUUCAGUCCACCACCUGACAGUGUGUUAAAUUUAAAUUCUGUUAGUGCUGCACUAAAAGAAUCGUUAGUAAUAGGUCCAUGCAGCGAAGGAAUUGAACAAUUGUGGGACCGUAUUUCGGCCGAAAAUGGGUGUGGUACGGAAACCCAGAAAUAGCACGAGUUCAACAUAAAACAUAAAUUAGAAUUUUAGCAGGGGAUCAAGUCAAGUCUGGAAGUGUUACAGGAUGGAAGAGUGAGCCUACAGAUGAAAAAACACUGAGAGUGCAUUACCGUUAAGGUGUGAGCAAUCCUUUAUAGUUCUGUCACAGCUAGAAGCCUCAAAUAAUUCUGCUUCCCUGGCUAAAGAACAACUUGUCCUUUACAUUCACAGUGUUGGUGAAACUGGGUACUUAAAUGGUCCUAAAGAUGUUUUAAUUUUGCUGCAGUUACAGAGAUGAACAUCAUACAUGGACACUUUAUGUGUAAUGUACAAAAAAAAAAUUUAUCCAAUAGGAAAGGAUUUUCAUAUACUGGGAACACAACUAUCAACAAUGCAACGUUCUACAGGUGCUAGUUUAUCAUUCAAGAACCUUAUACAAUGAUGUUAAUCUGCAAUUUGUAUGUCCUUUCCCAAGCUUCUGCCAGAAGUUGAAUCUAUAAGUCAUGUAAGUCACAUGAGCAACAAUUGAGAUGCUUAAUGGUGUUGUUUUUCUUUUCUCAGCAUAGGUUAAUAGUAACAUUGGAUCUGAAAAGAUUCUUGGUUGGGGCAAGACACUGAAUAAAUUGUAUUGAUUCGAUGGAUGACAUGACAUUUCUAUACUUAAUUCGGAUUCCCCAGACGGUAUUUGAUAUUAAAAAAAUUGAAGUACAUAUCUGGGCUCCCUUCUUUUCUGAAGCCUCGUUUCCCCUUGACUCGUAA